AUGCCGCAGAAGUUGCGCGUCGCCGCAUCCAGCGAUGGCGUGCUGCCUGAAGACAUGCUGCUUCAAAUCCUUGUGCGCCUCCCGGCAAAGAUGAUAUGCCUCUUCCGAGCGGUCUGCCGAUCCUGGAGGUUCCUCCUCUCAGAUCCGCUCUUUGUUGCAGCGCACAAGUCCCACCACUCUGGGCCACUAAUCGCCACAUGUAGUAGAUUGUAUGGAAGAGGCACCAUUGACAUUCUGGACUUGUCUGGCUCUGUUGUUAAACGGAUAGCCACCAGCAUGGCUGCUCCCAGGUUGGUGCGCACAUGCCGCUUGGAUCUUAUUUGUGUCACUGGAAGUAACCACUUUGCGACCUGCCAUGUGAUCAACCCUGCCACAGGGGAUACGUUUGCAUUGCCCAUUCACCGUGCAAAGGAGCAUGCACAUGUGGAACAUUUCUUCCCCGUAUCAUUUGACUUUGGACAGGUUGGCUCCACGGGAGAGUACAAGGCUAUACGCUGUGUCAGCUUCGAUAAUUCCAAUAGUCAGUCCGACCUGUUGCUCUGUGAGGUCAUCACCCUUGAUGAUGGCCGCCAUGCAAGAUGGAGGGGCAAACAGGGCCCUCCGGCCCCUAUCGCACGUAGGCGUGACAAAAGUGUUGUUGUAAAUGGAGUUGCCCAUUUCUUGUUGGAAUUUCGAUGUCCCACAUUUUCUGGGGACCAUGUCGAACCGGGUAGCAUGGCUUUGUUCAACCUUGAGACAGAGGAGUGGAUGGGGAUUCUCAAAGGUCCAAUGCCAGUGCGCAGCUUUGUUGAGGACAGCAAUGGCAGGUCCAGUUACUUUAGUCUAGACAUGGAGCUAUCACUGGUAUGUUUGGAUGGCUUCUUAGUUAUGGCACACGAUCCUGAAUAUGGCCCUUGGGACUUAUGGUUUUUGAUGGAUAUUGAGAAAUGUCUCUGGAAUAAAAGGUACAGCAUAGAUCCCCAACGUGAAAAUCUCUUUGCUCAACCAGUAGACAUUCUAAAUGAUGGGAGGAUAGUCAUCUCUGCAUCAGGAUUGCUAAGAUUCUAUAACCCAGUUACCAAGACUUACAUUGAUUUUGGGAUGGGGAAUUCCACAUCUGUUGGUACUUACACUGGAAGUCUAUUGUCUUCAGAGAGCACUUUCACUUCUGAGGCUGAACGAUGCACUACCUGCGGCUGCUAUUUCACCCUCGAAGCUGAUAAAUGUUCUGACACCUGUGAAGAUUGUAUGUUGCGUGCAUAUGCAUGGGCAUGUUGA
rnacentral:rRNA from 1 species